rnacentral:miRNA from 1 species
UUUACAACGCAACUAAAUGAAACUACUAAAUUAAUUUAGCUAGGCCCUGUUUACUUUAUAAAGUAAACAGGGCCUAGCUAAAUUAAUUUAGUAGUUUCAUUUAGUUGCGU